AGCAGCCGCGGUAAUUCCAGCUCCAAUAGCGUAUAUUAAAGUUGUUGCAGUUAAAAAGCUCGUAGUUGAAUUUCGGGGUUUAUCCGUUGGUCGGGCUUUUUGGUCUGUACUGGCGUGAUGGAUUCCUACCUUCUGAAUAACCGGCAUGCCAUUAAUUUGGUGCGCCGGGGAAGCAGGACUGUUACCUUGAAAAAAUUAGAGUGCUUAAAGCAGGCUUAUGCCUGAAUACAUUAGCAUGGAAUAAUGAAAUAGGAUGGCAUGGUUCUAUUUUGUUGGUUUCUAGGAUCACCGUAAUGAUUAAUAGGGAUAGUUGGGGGCAUUAGUAUUCAAUUGUCAGAGGUGAAAUUCUUGGAUUUAUUGAAGACUAACUUCUGCGAAAGCAUUUGCCAAGGAUGUUUUCAUUAAUCAAGAACGAAAGUUAGGGGAUCGAAGACGAUCAGAUACCGUCGUAGUCUUGACCAUAAACUAUGCCGACUAGGGAUCGGACGAUGUUAAUUUUUUAAUGACUCGUUCGGCGCCU
rnacentral:rRNA from 1 species